AAUAGAUACCCGGGUAGUCCAUGCCGUAAACGAUGUCUACUAGCCGUUGGGGCCCUUGAGGCUUUAGUGGCGCAGCUAACGCGAUAAGUAGACCGCCUGGGGAGUACGGUCGCAAGACUAAAACUCAAAUGAAUUGACGGGGGCCCGCACAAGCGGUGGAGCAUGUGGUUUAAUUCGAUGCAACGCGAAGAACCUUACCUGGCCUUGACAUACAGAGAACUUUCCAGAGAUGGAUUGGUGCCUUCGGGAACUCUGAUACAGGUGCUGCAUGGCUGUCGUCAGCUCGUGUCGUGAGAUGUUGGGUUAAGUCCCGCAACGAGCGCAACCCUUUUCCUAUUUGCCUAGCACUUCGGGUGGGAACUUUAAGGAUACUGCCAGUGACAAACUGGAGGAAGGCGGGGACGACGUCAAGGUCAUCGAUGGCCCUUACGGCCAGGGCUACACACGUGCUACAAUGGUCGGUACAAAGGGUUGCUACUGCGCGAGCAGAUGCUAAUCUCAAAAAGCCGAUCGUAGUCCGGAUCGCAGU
rnacentral:rRNA from 1 species